AGAGUUUGAUCCUGGCUCAGGACGAACGCUGGCGGCGUGCUUAACACAUGCAAGUCGAACGAUGAACCACUUCGGUGGGGAUUAGUGGCGAACGGGUGAGUAACACGUGGGCAAUCUGCCCUUCACUCUGGGACAAGCCCUGGAAACGGGGUCUAAUACCGGAUACGACACUCUCGGGCAUCCGAUGAGUGUGGAAAGCUCCGGCGGUGAAGGAUGAGCCCGCGGCCUAUCAGCUUGUUGGUGAGGUAACGGCUCACCAAGGCGACGACGGGUAGCCGGCCUGAGAGGGCGACCGGCCACACUGGGACUGAGACACGGCCCAGACUCCUACGGGAGGCAGCAGUGGGGAAUAUUGCACAAUGGGCGAAAGCCUGAUGCAGCGACGCCGCGUGAGGGAUGACGGCCUUCGGGUUGUAAACCUCUUUCAGCAGGGAAGAAGCGAAAGUGACGGUACCUGCAGAAGAAGCGCCGGCUAACUACGUGCCAGCAGCCGCGGUAAUACGUAGGGCGCGAGCGUUGUCCGGAAUUAUUGGGCGUAAAGAGCUCGUAGGCGGUCUGUCGCGUCGGAUGUGAAAGCCCGGGGCUUAACCCCGGGUCUGCAUUCGAUACGGGCAGACUAGAGUGUGGUAGGGGAGAUCGGAAUUCCUGGUGUAGCGGUGAAAUGCGCAGAUAUCAGGAGGAACACCGGUGGCGAAGGCGGAUCUCUGGGCCAUUACUGACGCUGAGGAGCGAAAGCGUGGGGAGCGAACAGGAUUAGAUACCCUGGUAGUCCACGCCGUAAACGGUGGGAACUAGGUGUUGGCGACAUUCCACGUCGUCGGUGCCGCAGCUAACGCAUUAAGUUCCCCGCCUGGGGAGUACGGCCGCAAGGCUAAAACUAAAAGGAAUUGAC
rnacentral:rRNA from 1 species